rfam:Brassica napus, WGS project CCCW01000000 data, contig: 16079
GGAAUAUAAGAACCCGUCUCUUAACUUUUAAUUAAAAAAAUUAAGAACUGGUUCUUAAAACUCUUAUUUAAGAACUGAUUCUUAAAACUCUUAUUUAAAAACUGAUUCUUAACUUUUUUAGUUAAAAAUUAAGAGACGAGUUCUUAUAUUCC